CGCUAUUUUAGACCUCUCUUUAAUCUUUAUUGCCUGUUAAGCAUAUAAAUACAUCAUGCCAUGGGCAUCUCAGCAAACAUGCAGUUUUUUAUUGAAUUAACAUUUUAUAUACAGAUUAUAGGCCUAGAAAUUAUUAUAACAUCCGUUCACGGACGAAUUCGGGGAACUGCAUACCGUUUCAUGUUUACAUGGAAAUUCGUACAGUUAAUAUACGUUUACACGCUGCAUUUGUCGUGUACAAUUCGUAUAUUCUGACGCCACAAUUCCUCUUCAUUUAGUUUACGGCGAAAGUCGAAACGCAACCGCAUUAUAUACGCGUGCUUAUUCGAUUACAUAUAACGGACCCUGCAGGGGUUGGAUUUGCGCUAACCUCGGUUUAGUUUAUUUCAAAACUUCAGAGAAGAAAACUGGUAGUGAUCCAGACAUGAUCUCUGAAGAAAUACUUCAAAAUUUAUAAACAAAUUCUGUUGGGAAGUUUCCUUUGAAUUUUAGGUUAACCCAGGGUUAAGGUAAUCGGCUUUCAAAUCGCAGCAUGUAAACGUAAUAUAGCUUCAGCUGUAUACUCGAGUUCGUCACGUUUCUUGCGUCCCAUGUUAUAUACUCGAAAAGCGAAAUCGUCCCCAAACGCGGAGAGCCUGCGACGCAGGCUAGUGCAUGUGAAUGGAGCCUUAGCGUCCCAUCUUACCGAAGCUUCGUUCAUACUAUUCCAAAAUUGGAUUCCUCCAUCGUAUCACCUCGCUUUACAAUCCUAAACGAAAAGAGAAGAAUUUUUGUAUAUAAAUGGUGUUUGAAAGAGAGCGUCCACUUUGUAAUUAUUUCUCAAGCAUGCAGGGAUCCAUAUGAAAAUACGAGCACAGUAGA